UACGGAGGAUGCGAGCGUUAUCCGGAUUUAUUGGGUUUAAAGGGUGCGUAGGCGGGUUAUCAAGUCAGCGGUAAAAUCGUGGAGCUCAACUCCAUCCAGCCGUUGAAACUGCCAAGCUAGAGUGUCGGAGAGGUAAGUGGAAUUCCUAGUGUAGCGGUGAAAUGCGUAGAUAUUAGGAGGAACACCAGUGGCGAAGGCGGCUUACUGGACGAUGACUGACGCUGAGGCUCGAAAGCGUGGGGAGCAAACAGG
rnacentral:rRNA from 1 species